UACAGAGGUCUCAAGCGUUGUUCGGAUUCAUUGGGCGUAAAGGGCGCGUAGGCGGCCGAUCAAGUCGGGGGUGAAAGCCUGUGGCUCAACCACAGAAUGGCCUUCGAUACUGUUUGGCUUGAGACCGGAAGAGGUCAGUGGAACUGCGAGUGUAGAGGUGAAAUUCGUAGAUAUUCGCAAGAACACCAGUGGCGAAGGCGGCUGACUGGUCCGGUUCUGACGCUGAGGCGCGAAAGCGUGGGGAGCAAACAGG
rnacentral:rRNA from 1 species